AUUGAACGCUGGCGGCAGGCCUAACACAUGCAAGUCGAGCGAGCGGCGCACGGGUGAGUAAUGUAUGGGGAACUGCCCGAUAGAGGGGGGUAACUACUGGAAACGGUGGCUAAUACCGCAUACGCUCGGAUGUGCCCACAGGGGAUUAGCUCGUUGGGGGGGUAAUGGCUUACCUAGGCGACGAUCCCUAGCUGGUCUGAGAGGAUGACCAGCCACACUGGAACUGAGACACGUGCCAGACUCCUACGGGAGGCAGCAGUGGGGAAUAUUGCACAAUGGGCGCAAGCCUGAUGCAGCCAUGCCGCGUGUAUGAAGAAGGCCUUAGGGUUGUAAAGUACUUUCAGCGGGGAGGCGUUACCGGCAGAAGAAGCACCGGCUAACUCCGUGCCAGCAGCCGCGGUAAUAC
rnacentral:rRNA from 1 species